UGCUGAGCUAAUUCCCUAACUG
rnacentral:miRNA from 1 species